GCAUUGGUCAGUUUCGAUCCAGUUCCUUAAUCUAUCGGCUUCAAUUUCAGAUGUACGGCAAGUGUAUGAUUCUUCUCCGCUUCUUUUGACGUGCUUCUCGAGCACACAGCGCUUGCCGGUGGAUGAUAUUGCGUAAGAACAUGUCUCUUGGUCGAGAUGCUCACAUAUUAUUUCUCCUAGAGUGCCUCGCGCACAGAGAACAAGGGCAAGAGCCAGGACUGCCAGUGCCAGGGUCUUGAAGCAAGCCAUA
rnacentral:misc_RNA from 1 species